rnacentral:rRNA from 1 species
AACGAACGCUGGCGGCAGGCUUAACACAUGCAAGUCGAGCGCCCCGCAAGGGGAGCGGCAGACGGGUGAGUAACGCGUGGGAACGUACCUUUUGGUUCGGAACAACUCCGGGAAACUGGAGCUAAUACCGGAUAAGCCCUAACGGGGAAAGAUUUAUCGCCGAAAGAUCGGCCCGCGUCUGAUUAGCUAGUUGGUGAGGUAACGGCUCACCAAGGCGACGAUCAGUAGCUGGUCUGAGAGGAUGAUCAGCCACACUGGGACUGAGACACGGCCCAGACUCCUACGGGAAGCAGCAGUGGGGAAUACUGGACAAUGGGCGCAAGCCUGAUCCAGCCAUGCCGCGUGAGUGAUGAAGGCCUUAGGGUUGUAAAGCUCUUUUGUCCGGGAAGAUAAUGACUGUACCGGAAGAAUAAGCCCCGGCUAACUUCGUG